rnacentral:ribozyme from 1 species
CACCCAGAAACUCCUAUCCCUACUUCUCGCGGUACCGGCCGGAAACUAUAAGCAUUGGUCGUAGGCUGACAGGGAAGA